CUGGAAUGCUUUGAGCAUCUCAGGGCUGGUGGAUUUGUAAUAUUGGACGUUACAUUACCAAUAUUAAGUUCAUUCACUACUUCUGUUACUACAGCUCACUGCUAUUAUAACACUUCAAAGACUGGAUUGGCAUCGUGCUGCUCAGGGGAUGCUGUAACCGAGGUGCUGGGUGCAGAGGAAGAAUUUUGAAGCUCAUGCUUUCCACGUUCUCAGAGUCUACGGACAAAUGAACACAAACCACCGGGAGACGUCCUGCCAGAGUGAGAUGAAUAGGACGGCCGGCGGGCGCGCACUGCUGGGCACAGACCCAGGCUCGGUGCUGAGGGGGACCACUGCUGACCCACCAGGUCCGUUAGUUGGUGUUGGAGCAUCGGACGCGUUGGAUGGAUGUGUGUUGUUCUUCGUGAAAUCCUCAGCGAAAUGAACUGAAGGGACUCACCCGAGUGCAGCAGGACUGUGUCAGGGCUCAGGAUGGGAUUUCUGAGUUUCUUUAGUUUCAGUGGGAUUUCCCUUUCUUACCCAGCAGAUAUGAUGUUGCAUGGCGAGAUGUAGUGGCUUUUCUCAAUAAAAGCCACGUGUGUCUGUGCA
rnacentral:lncRNA from 1 species